rnacentral:rRNA from 1 species
AUUGAACGCUGGCGGCAGGCUUAACACAUGCAAGUCGAGCGGGGUGAUGGUGCUUGCACUAUCACUUAGCGGCGGACGGGUGAGUAAUGCUUAGGAAUCUGCCUAUUAGUGGGGGACAACAUCUCGAAAGGGAUGCUAAUACCGCAUACGUCCUACGGGAGAAAGCAGGGGAUCACUUGUGACCUUGCGCUAAUAGAUGAGCCUAAGUCGGAUUCGGUAGGUGGUGGGGUAAAGGCCUACCAAGGCGACGAUCUGGAGCGGGUCUGAGAGGAUGAUCGGCCACCCGAGGACUGAGUCACGGCCCAGGCUCCUGCGGGAGGCACCUGUGGGGAGUAUUGGACAAUGGGGGGAACCCGGAUCCAGCCAUGCCGCGUGUGUGAAGAAGGCCUUAUGGUUGUAAAGCACUUUAAGCGAGUAGGAGGCUCUUUUGGUGAAUACCCAAGAUGAGUGGACGUUACUCGCAGAAUAAGCACCGGCUAACUCUGUGCCAGCCGCCGCUGUAA